rnacentral:rRNA from 1 species
GGAUUAGAUACCCUGGUAGUCCUUGCCGUAAACGAUGUAUACUUGGUGUAGUCGGACUCAACCCCGACUGUGCCGAAGCUAACGCGAUAAGUAUACCGCCUGAGGAGUACGCUCGCAAGGGUGAAACUCAAAAGAAUUGACGGGGACCCGCACAAGCAGUGGAGCAUGUGGUUUAAUUCGAUGCAACGCGAAGAACCUUACCUAGGCUUGACAUGCAGAGGAAUGCUGUAGAGAUAUAGCAGCCCUUCGGGGCUUCUGCACAGGUGCUGCAUGGCUGUCGUCAGCUCGUGCCG